GGGUAGUCGUACGGGGGACCCGUAGGUUUUAAAGGGGACCCGUAGGGUUGGAGCUUGCUCCCUGAGAUCAGCGGCGGACGGGUGAGUAACACGUGGGUAACCUGCCUGUAAGACUGGGAUAACUCCGGGAAACCGGGGCUAAUACCGGAUAACACCUACCCCCGCAUGGGGGAAGGUUGAAAGGUGGCUUCGGCUAUCACUUACAGAUGGACCCGCGGCGCAUUAGCUAGUUGGUGAGGUAACGGCUCACCAAGGCGACGAUGCGUAGCCGACCUGAGAGGGUGAUCGGCCACACUGGGACUGAGACACGGCCCAGACUCCUACGGGAGGCAGCAGUAGGGAAUCUUCCGCAAUGGACGAAAGUCUGACGGAGCAACGCCGCGUGAGUGAAGAAGGUUUUCGGAUCGUAAAACUCUGUUGUUAGGGAAGAACAAGUGCCGUUCGAAUAGGGCGGCACCUUGACGGUACCUAACCAGAAAGCCACGGCUAACUACGUGCCAGCAGCCGCGGUAAUACGUAGGUGGCAAGCGUUGUCCGGAAUUAUUGGGCGUAAAGCGCGCGCAGGUGGUUUCUUAAGUCUGAUGUGAAAGCCCACGGCUCAACCGUGGAGGGUCAUUGGAAACUGGGGAACUUGAGUGCAGAAGAGGAAAGUGGAAUUCCAGUGUAGCGGUGAAAUGCGUAGAUAUUUGGAGGAACACCAGUGGCGAAGGCGACUUUUCUGGUCUGUAACUGACACU
rnacentral:rRNA from 1 species